rnacentral:rRNA from 1 species
UGUAGCAAUACAUGCUGACGAGCGGCAGACGGGUGAGGAACACGUACGCAACCUCCCUCAAACCGGGGCACAACCUUGAGAAAUCAGGGCUAAUUCCCCAUAACAUUGCGAAAGGGCAUCUGAUUGCAAUUAAAGAUUUAUCAGUUUGAGAUGGGCGUGCGUUCGAUUAGCUAGUUGGUAAGGUAACGGCCUACCAAGGCAACGAUCGAUAGCUGGUGUGAGAGCACGACCAGCCACACGGGCACUGAGAUACGGGCCCGACUCCUACGGGAGGCAGCAGUAAGGAAUAUUGGUCAAUGGACGCAAGUCUGAACCAGCCAUGCCGCGUGAGGGAUGAAGGUCCUCUGGAUUGUAAACCUCUUUUAUCUGUGAAUAAACGUCCUUUUUCUAAGGGAUUUGAAGGUAAUAGAUGAAUAAGCACCGGCUAACUCCGUGCCAGCAGCCGCGGUAAUACGGAGGGUGCAAGCGUUAUCCGGAUUUACUGGGUUUAAAGGGUGCGUAGGUGGGUUGGGAAGUCAGUGGUGAAAUACUAUAGCUUAACUAUGGAACUGCCAUUGAUACUAUCAAUCUUGAAUGUAGUGGAGGUAGGCGGAAUGCGUCAUGUAGCGGUGAAAUGCUUAGAUAUGACGCAGAACACCAAUUGCGAAGGCAGCUUGCUACACUACUAUUGACACUGAGGCACGAAAGCGUGGGGAUCAAACAGGAUUAGAUACCCUGGUAGUCCACGCCCUAAACGAUGAUUACUCGAUCUCGGCGAUACACAGUCGGGGUCUAUGUGAAAGCAUUAAGUAAUCCACCUGGGGAGUACGAUCGCAAGAUUGAAACUCAAAGGAAUUGAC